UCGACCUGAGCUCAAGCAAGACCACCCGCUGAACUUAAGCAUAUCAAUAAGCGGAGGAAAAGAAACUAACAAGGAUUCCCUUAGUAAUGGCCAA
rnacentral:rRNA from 1 species